UGCUCCUGGAUUCAGCGGCGGACGGGUGAGUAAUGCCUAGGAAUCUGCCUGGUAGUGGGGGAUAACGUUCCGAAAGGAACGCUAAUACCGCGUACGUCCUACGGGAGAAAGCAGGGGACCUUCGGGCCUUGCGCUAUCAGAUGAGCCUAGGUCGGAUUAGCUAGUUGGUGAGGUAAUGGCUCACCAAGGCGACGAUCCGUAACUGGUCUGAGAGGAUGAUCAGUCACACUGGAACUGAGACACGGUCCAGACUCCUACGGGAGGCAGCAGUGGGGAAUAUUGGACAAUGGGCGAAAGCCUGAUCCAGCCAUGCCGCGUGUGUGAAGAAGGUCUUCGGAUUGUAAAGCACUUUAAGUUGGGAGGAAGGGCUGUAGGCUAAUAUCCUGCGGUUUUGACGUUACCAACAGAAUAAGCACCGGCUAACUUCGUGCCAGCAGCCGCGGUAAUACGAAGGGUGCAAGCGUUAAUCGGAAUUGCUGGGCGUAAAGCGCGCGUAGGUGGUUCGUUAAGUUGGAUGUGAAAGCCCCGGGCUCAACCUGGGAACUGCAUCCAAAACUGGCGAGCUAGAGUACGGUAGAGGGUA
rnacentral:rRNA from 1 species